UAUACCAACACCACCAGCCUGUACUGUUGACACGGGGCCAGACGGGGCCAGACCAUUAUACCAACACCACCAGCCUGUACUGUUGACACCAGGCCAGACGGGGCCAGACCAUUAUACCAACACCACCAGCCUGUACUGUUGACACCAGGUGAGACGGGGCCAGACCAUUAUACCAACACCACCAGCCUGUACUGUUGACUCCAGAUGAGACGGGGCCAGACCAUUAUACCAACACCACCAGCCUGUACUGUUGACACCAGGUGAGACGGGGCCAGACCAUUAUACCAACACCACCAGCCUGUACUGUUGACUCCAGGCGAGACGGGGCCAGACCAUUAUACCAACACCACCAGCCUGUACUGUUGACACCAGAUGAGACGGGGCCAGACCAUUAUACCAACACCACCAGCCUGUACUGUUGACACCAGGUGAGACGGGGCCAGACCAUUAUACCAACACCACCAGCCUGUACUGUUGACACCAGGUGAGACGGGGCCAGACCAUUAUACCAACACCACCAGCCUGUACUGUUGACACCAGGUGAGACGGGGCCAGACCAUUAUACCAACACCACCAGCCUGUACUGUUGACACCAGGUGAGACGGGGCCAGACCAUUAUACCAACACCACCAGCCUGUACUGUUGACACCAGGCCAGACGGGGCCAGACCAUUAUACCAACACCACCAGCCUGUACUGUUGACACCAGAUGAGACUGGGCCAGACCAUUAUACCAACACCACCAGCCUGUACUGUUGACACCAGGCCAGACGGGGCCAGACCAUUAUACCAACACCACCAGCCUGUACUGUUGACACCAGGUGAGACUGGGCCAGACCAUUAUACCAACACCACCAGCCUGUACUGUUGACACCA